CGGGUGAGUAACACGUGGAUAACCUACCUAUAAGACUGGGAUAACUUCGGGAAACCGGAGCUAAUACCGGAUAAUAUAUUGAACCGCAUGGUUCAAUAGUGAAAGACGGUUUUGCUGUCACUUAUAGAUGGAUCCGCGCCGCAUUAGCUAGUUGGUAAGGUAACGGCUUACCAAGGCAACGAUGCGUAGCCGACCUGAGAGGGUGAUCGGCCACACUGGAACUGAGACACGGUCCAG
rnacentral:rRNA from 2 species